UGGCUGAAAUCUGGAGCUCAGAAUGGUCAACAGUGCCCUAGAAAUGACUGUCUCCUUGCUUGUCUUCCUGUCUGCACUGGGUCUCCCUCAGGGUGUCCUGUCCCAGGUGCAGCUGCAGGAGUUGGGCCCAGGACUGGUGAAGCCUUCACAGACUCUCACCCUCACCUGUACCAUCUCUGGGGACACUGUCUCUAGCACCAGUGCUGCUUGGAAUUGGAUCAGGCAGCCCCUGGGGAGAGGUCUCCAGUGGCUGGGAAGGACAUACUACAGGUCCAACUGGAAUUAUGAGUAUGCACCAUCUCUGCAAGGCCGAUUGACCAUAACCCCUGACACAUCCAAGAACCAGUUCUCUCUACAGCUGAGCUCCGUGAGCACUGAGGACACAGCCAUGUAUUACUGUGCAAGACACACAGUGAGGGAACCUCAAUGGAGGCUCAGACACAAACUUCGCUGCAGGGCCACUAAGGACCAGGAGGGGGCUCCCAGGACCUACCGGGCCACCCUGGACUGA